UUAUACAGCAUAUUACUGUAUUUUAAAGUUACAUUUUGGGCAAUACCCUCUUGGCGACACUAAAUUACAGUAUUUUUAAUUUACUGUAAAUCUAAAUACAGUAAAGAAAAAAUGAGCGCGAAACCUGACCAAUCACAGAUCAAGUUUUAUUUCCUGCUUGGAGAAAGAAGAAAACAAGACACACAGAUGCGAAAAGAACCAGUCAGAUGCAAAGGAGCUGGUGAGUGUUCAUGUGAACUGUUAGCCGAACAACAAAGCUUUCGUGGAUUAUCUUAAAGUUGAAUGUUAACCCUGACAACAGCAAGUGCUCCUCAAAGUUCCACGUCAUCAAAAGAAGUGGGAAGAUGGUGCAAAGGAAGAACUCUGGUCUGAACCCUCAUGUAUCCUCCUUCAUUAAAGGGAUAGUUCACCCAAAAAUUAGUUCACCCAUUAAUAACUCACCCUCAUGUCGUUCCAAACCUGUGAGACCUCCAUUUAUCUCCUCAGUCCCUCCAUUGAAGCUGUGUGUAUGGUAUACUGUCCAUGUCCAGAAAGGUAAGAAAAACAUCAUCAAAGUAGUCCAUGUGACAUCAGAGGGUCAGCUAGAAUUUUUUGAAGCAUCGAAAUUACAUUUUGGUCCAAAAACUACGACUUUAUUCAGCAUUGUCAUCUCUUUCGUGUCUGUGUGAGAGAGUUCAAAACAAAGCAGUUUGUGAUAUCUGGUUCGCGAACGAAUCACUCGAUGUAACCGGAUCUUUUUGAACAAGUUCACUAAAUUGAACUGAAUAGUUUUAAACGGUUCGCAUCUCUAAUAUGCAUUAAUCCACAAAUUACUUAAGCUGUUAACUUUUUUUAAUGUGGCUGACACUUCUGAGUUCAAACAAACCAAUAUCCCGGAGUAAUUCAUGCACUCAAAAAGUACACUGACUGAACUGUUGUGAAGAGAGAACUGAAGAUGAACACCGAGCUGAGCCAGAUAAUGAACAAAAGACUGACUCGUUCUCGAGUCAGCCAUAUUAAAAAAGUUAACAGCUUAAGUAAUUUGUGAAUUAAUUCGUAUUGGAGAAGCGAACAGUAUAAAACGAUUCGGUUUGAUUUGGUGAACUGGUUCGAAAAGUGAACCGGAUAUCAGCUGCUUUGAUUUGAACUCUCUCACACCAGACACGGAAGAGAAGACAAUGCUGAAUAAAGUCGUAGUUUUUGCUAUUUUUGGACCAAAAUGUAUUUACGACGCUUCAAAAAAUUCCAACCGACCCUCUGAUGUCACAUGGACUACUUUGAUGGUGUUUUUCUUACCUUUCUGGACGUGGACAGGAUACCAUACACACAACUUCAAUGGAGGGACUGAGAGCUCUCGGACUAAAUCUAAGAUAUCUUAAACUGUGUUCUGAAGAUAAACUGAGGUCUCACAGAUUUAGAAAGACAUGAGGGUGAGUUAUUAAUGACCUAAUUCUGAUUUUUGGGUGAACUAUCCCUUUAAGGAGUUUCUGGAUUUCAGCUGGCAAAACUAGUUUUCUGAAUUUGUAAAUUUUUAAGAUUGUUCUUAUGACUGAAUCUGUUCAUGUCUGUUGAUUUAAAAUGCUCUUAAUAUGAAACUUUUAUGUAUAAAUGAAAUGUAUUCAAGUUUUUGGAAAACUGAAAGUACUAUCUGCAAGAAUAUUAAAAUGUUAUUUUCAAGUAUUACCAUUUAACUAUUAAACCAAUAAAAGAAGUUAAACAGUC